rnacentral:rRNA from 1 species
AUCCGGGUUGCGGACAGUGUCUGGUGGGUAGUUUGACUGGGGCGGUCUCCUCCUAAAGAGUAACGGAGGAGCACGAAGGUUGGCUAAUCCUGGUCGGACAUCAGGAGGUUAGUGCAAUGGCAUAAGCCAGCUUGACUGCGAGCGUGACGGCGCGAGCAGGUGCGAAAGCAGGUCAUAGUGAUCCGGUGGUUCUGAAUGGAAGGGCCAUCGCUCAACGGAUAAAAGGUACUCCGGGGAUAACAGGCUGAUACCGCCCAAGAGUUCAUAUCGACGGCGGUGUUUGGCACCUCGAUGUCGGCUCAUCACAUCCUGGGGCUGAAGUAGGUCCCAAGGGUAUGGCUGUUCGCCAUUUAAAGUGGUACGCGAGCUGGGUUUAGAACGUCGUGAGACAGUUCGGUCCCUAUCUGCCGUGGGCGCUGGAGAACUGAGGGGGGCUGCUCCUAGUACGAGAGGACCGGAGUGGACGCAUCACUGGUGUUCGGGUUGUCAUGCCAAUGGCACUGCCCGGUAGCUAAAUGCGGAAGAGAUAAGUGCUGAAAGCAUCUAAGCACGAAACUUGCCCCGAGAUGAGUUCUCCCUGACUCCUUGAGAGUCCUGAAGGAACGUU